GCGACGAUGGCGGAGUGGUAACGCCCCCGCCUGCUAAGCGGGUGUCCCUGGUUCGAUUCCAGGUUGUCGCC